rnacentral:tRNA from 1 species
UGGGGAGUAGCCAAGCGGUAAGGCAGUGGACUCUGAAUCCACCAUCGUAGGUUCGAUCCCUACCUCCCCAGCCA